UUUUUUCCAUCUCUUCUGAUUCUAAAUCUAGAUCUACAAAAUUAAACCCAAUAUUUGAGAGUUAAAACCCAUUUCUCCUAAACCCUUAUCUCAUAUCAAAACUAAAUCACUCAAUCUUUUAAUAAAUCAAAUUAAUCUCUUCUUCUAGAGAUGAACUAAUGGAUCUUGCAGGGUACUGUUCUGUAAAGAUUUUGUUUGCUUGAUUCCAACCGCAAGUUUCUUUCUAUGGUGAGAACUAAUAAAUCAUGCAAAUUAUUGAUGGUGGUUUGGUAUUGAAGAUGGAGGUUCUGCAGAUGUUGGCAUGUGGGUGGCUAUUGGAGUUGUUGGUGCUAGUUUGUUGAUAAUGCUGCUGUUUUAUAAGCCUGUUCUCUUAUAAUAUUAAUACAUGGUGGAGAUCUGAGAUACUGUCAGAAACACCCCUGGUAUAAAGCCCUUUCCGAACACCCCACUGUCGUGUUUGCAAGAGAUGUGUUUUA